UGAAGAAUCGGGAAACUGAUGAUGGUGAUAGCAUGAUGACUCUUUUAACUACUAGUGAUCCCUCAAAAAACCUUGUUAUUUGUCCUGAUAAGCGCAGUAAUAUUGCUCGUUUCAUCAAUGCCCCUCAAAAAACCUCGUUGUUUGUCCUGAUAAGCGCAGUAAUAUUGCUCGAUUCAUCAAUGGGAUAAACAAUCAUACACCGUAUGUUCACUAUCCCUCAAACACUUGUGUGCUAUUGAGCUUACUAGGAUAUCUCAUUCGUAUCAUAGUUGUUUGUGUAUGACAUACUUGAUCUUAUGAAUCUUUC
rnacentral:lncRNA from 1 species